GAGGGGUUCUAGACUGCCCAAUGACCUUCAAAUAUACUUUGAAUUAGGCCAUUAGUGGUCGAUUCUCGUUUUUAUUUUCAUAUUGUGACAAAUAGGAAAUUUGAAAUUUACACAAAGUUUCAGGCUUUUUAGGCUGAUGUAGGUCAAAGCAAAGAGCGUUCAUAUUGUUGCCGAUUGGCCAUGAAUUCAUGAAAAAGAAAGUGUGGAUCAGUUUAUACCUAAUGUAAUUAGUGUGAUACCUAUUUAAAAAGUGCAAAUUGCUCUCAUACCAGCAUACCAGGAAAUGUUGAGGGUAGAGUGGCCAUAUUUAAUGAGCAUGGCAAAUACUGUUCAACUUCUGAUCUGAAGUAAUAGGGAGUUUGUCAUGUUACAAUAACAAAGUAUAUUUACUCUGUAAUCCAAGUUCCAGCACAGUAGAGUAAAGCCCUAAUUUUUUCACUUCUGUAACCGACAAACAAGACCAAUAUCUUACAGUGUAUGUAUUGCAUUGAAAAGCCAUUUUAAGCAUCUGUUUUUUAGACUUGACUUUUUAUGCAAACAAAAUUACUCGGGGUCCCCACUCUUGUUAAUGAUGUAUUUAUAGAUUGUGUAAAUUAGCCUUGAUAUUUUUUGGCAUUCAAUACUUUCUAUUUAUUCUGGCUAAUAUUUUGGGUUUCUUUUUUUACUUUUCUUGUCAUUUCUGUCAUAAUUUCUGCUAAACAAAUGUUCCUAUUUUAUAUUAAUUUACAAAGUAAAAAUGCCUUUGCUUCCUUAUAUCUCCGAUAAAGUCACACGGGGUGAUAUUGCUAUAGAGAUGUUGGUCCAGCUGUGUUGGGAGCUUCUCUUGGCUUGGGUGGCGGGCCUGCUCCCUGGAACUACUACUGAUAUCAAGGAAGGUUCACAUAACUGGUUGUACAUUAAUAAACAAAUAUCUUUGAGUGGUAUUGGUUUUUUUUCAGGUUUCCGUAGUUUAAUGUAUUCAGGAAAGAAGGAGGACUCUCCUGCAAGAGAUUGUGUUCCCCAACACCCUUUUGGGGCUUCAGGCUUUCUAUGAAAACUCUGACUCAAUUCAGGUGACCUGUUCACUAGAUUUUGAAGGCUAGCCAGAGGAAUACUUUCAAUAUUGCUAAGCGUCUGAAGAAUUGACCAAAAAGGCAUGUUUUCUGAGCAGCCCAUAAUAGUUUCUACAGCUGUUAACAGUUCACAGAAUAAAGAGCGUAUUAUUCAUCCGCGCAUAAAAUGUGCAUGACUUACAUUGUAGAGAAGUCAAAAUUUCGGCCUUGAACCUCGGCCAGGAAAAUCUUUAAAAAACGUUGUUGUAAUUGCUGCUUGAAGAUCAUGAACGUGACUAUUGUUCGCGGAGAUGUACGGCCUGUACUGUUUUGUUUCUUAUUUAUUCAACAUUCUUCAUUAUAAUGUCCUUUCCCUUUCUGUGCAGACCUGAAAGAUUGUUAUUGAGCUCCUCACAAAAGCUGAACUAACGCUGUGUGUUAAAAAAAUUUUAGUAAUUCGAAGAAGUUAUAAAAAUUUAUAAGUUGGCUGAA